GAUGAACGCUGGCGGCGUGCCUAAUACAUGCAAGUCGAGCGAACGGACGAGAAGCUUGCUUUUCUGAUGUUAGCGGCGGACGGGUGAGUAACACGUGGAUAACCUACCUAUAAGACUGGGAUAACUUCGGGAAACCGGAGCUAAUACCGGAUAAUAUUUUGAACCGCAUGGUUCAAAAGUGAAAGACGGUCUUGCUGUCACUUAUAGAUGGAUCCGCGCUGCAUUAGCUAGUUGGUAAGGUAACGGCUUACCAAGGCAACGAUGCAUAGCCGACCUGAGAGGGUGAUCGGCCACACUGGAACUGAGACACGGUCCAGACUCCUACGGGAGGCAGCAGUAGGGAAUCUUCCGCAAUGGGCGAAAGCCUGACGGAGCAACGCCGCGUGAGUGAUGAAGGUCUUCGGAUCGUAAAACUCUGUUAUUAGGGAAGAACAUAUGUGUAAGUAACUGUGCACAUCUUGACGGUACCUAAUCAGAAAGCCACGGCUAACUACGUGCCAGCAGCCGCGGUAAUACGUAGGUGGCAAGCGUUAUCCGGAAUUAUUGGGCGUAAAGCGCGCGUAGGCGGUUUUUUAAGUCUGAUGUGAAAGCCCACGGCUCAACCGUGGAGGGUCAUUGGAAACUGGAAAACUUGAGUGCAGAAGAGGAAAGUGGAAUUCCAUGUGUAGCGGUGAAAUGCGCAGAGAUGUGGAGGAACACCAGUGGCGAAGGCGACUUUCUGGUCUGUAACUGACGCUGAUGUGCGAAAGCGUGGGGAUCAAACAGGAUUAGAUACCCUGGUAGUCCACGCCGUAAACGAUGAGUGCUAAGUGUUAGGGGGUUUCCGCCCCUUAGUGCUGCAGCUAACGCAUUAAGCACUCCGCCUGGGGAGUACGACCGCAAGGUUGAAACUCAAAGGAAUUGACGGGGGCCCGCACAAGCGGUGGAGCAUGUGGUUUAAUUCGAAGCAACGCGAAGAACCUUACCAAAUCUUGACAUCCUUUGACAACUCUAGAGAUAGAGCCUUCCCCUUCGGGGGACAAAGUGACAGGUGGUGCAUGGUUGUCGUCAGCUCGUGUCGUGAGAUGUUGGGUUAAGUCCCGCAACGAGCGCAACCCUUAAGCUUAGUUGCCAUCAUUAAGUUGGGCACUCUAAGUUGACUGCCGGUGACAAACCGGAGGAAGGUGGGGAUGACGUCAAAUCACCAUGCCCCUUAUGAUUUGGGCUACACACGUGCUACAAUGGACAAUACAAAGGGCAGCGAAACCGCGAGGUCAAGCAAAUCCCAUAAAGUUGUUCUCAGUUCGGAUUGUAGUCUGCAACUCGACUACAUGAAGCUGGAAUCGCUAGUAAUCGUAGAUCAGCAUGCUACGGUGAAUACGUUCCCGGGUCU
rnacentral:rRNA from 1 species